AUUGAACGCUAGCGGGAUGCUUUACACAUGCAAGUCGAACGGCAGCGCGGACUUCGGUCUGGCGGCGAGUGGCGAACGGGUGAGUAAUGCAUCGGAACGUGCCCAGUAGCGGGGGAUAACUACGCGAAAGCGUAGCUAAUACCGCAUACGCCCUACGGGGGAAAGCAGGGGAUCGUAAGACCUUGCACUAUUGGAGCGGCCGAUAUCGGAUUAGCUAGUUGGUGAGGUAACGGCUCACCAAGGCGACGAUCCGUAGCUGGUUUGAGAGGACGACCAGCCACACUGGGACUGAGACACGGCCCAGACUCCUACGGGAGGCAGCAGUGGGGAAUUUUGGACAAUGGGGGCAACCCUGAUCCAGCCAUCCCGCGUGUGCGAUGAAGGCCUUCGGGUUGUAAAGCACUUUUGGCAGGAAAGAAACGUCGCGGGCUAAUACCCCGUGGAACUGACGGUACCUGCAGAAUAAGCACCGGCUAACUACGUG
rnacentral:rRNA from 1 species